rnacentral:misc_RNA from 1 species
AACCUAGCACACCUGCGGUGUGUACCUGCGGAAGGAUCAUUAACCUUUCAAAUCAGGGUGCGGCGCGGCCCCCGAGGAGCGGAAACAAUCCUUGGGAGGUAUGCGGGGGCUUCGAGCCCCCCAUUUACGCACGCACGACUGCCAUCCUUACUUUACGAGCACCUUCUGUUCUCCCUCGGCGGGGCAACCUGCCGUUGGAACCGAAUAAACUCUUUUUGCAUCUAGCAUUACCCGUUCCGA